rnacentral:rRNA from 1 species
CCUACGGGUGGCAGCAGUGAGGAAUAUUGGUCAAUGGACGAGCGUCUGAACCAGCCAAGUAGCGUGAAGGAUGACUGCCCUAUGGGUUGUAAACUUCUUUUAUAUGGGAAUAAAAUGUUCCACGUGUGGGAUUUUGUAUGUACCAUAUGAAUAAGGAUCGGCUAACUCCGUGCCAGCAGCCCCAGUAAUACGGAGGAUCCGAUCGUUGUCCGGGUUUAUUGGGUUUAAAGGGAGCGUAGGUGGUUUUUGAAGUCAGUUGUGAAAGUUUGCGGCUCAACCGUAAAAUUGCAGUUGAAACUGGCAGUCUUGAGUACAGUAGAGGUGGGCGGAAUGCGUGGUGUAGCGGUGAAAUGCUUAGAUAUCACGAAGAACUCCGAUUGCGAAGGCAGUUCACUGGACUGCAACUGACACUGAGGCUCGAAAGUGUGGGUAUCAAACAGGAUUAGAUACCCGUGUAGUC